rnacentral:rRNA from 1 species
UAGGGAAUCUUCCACAAUGGACGAAAGUCUGAUGGAGCAACGCCGCGUGAGUGAAGAAGGUUUUCGGAUACGUAAAGCUCUGUUGUUGGUGAAGAAGGAUAAGGCAGUAACUGGUCUUUAUUUGACGGUAUCAACCAGAAAGUCACGGCUAACUACGUGCCAC